ensembl:lncRNA
AAUCACAGAGCGCCUCGGCGGCUACAGCCUACGGGCCCAUGGCGCUGCCAAGCUUGAGGACGCCGGGAGGGCGGGUCUGGCCCGCCCACUGCGAAAGUUUCCGAGCUAACUCGGGCCGUGCUGCCCAGACUGAACCCUUGCACGCCACGGCACACCCACAAGGCGUCCGGGUUGCUGUGCCCGGCUGCAAGCCCACGGGCGAGGCUCAAGACGACCUUUCACCCACUACUCUGGCCCCAGGCUCCCCAACUUCAGAUUUAUUAUCACUGCUCUUGCAAUAUUAACUGACACGCACCGUAUGGUAUUCCAGGUGGGGAUGUGUCCGUUGAUCCAUCCAUCACCUACUGAAGGACAUCAUGGCUGCUCCUGAGAGGUGCAGACCUGACAUCAGAGAACAGAGCAGAGAGGGUCCUUAGAGGGCAAGCAGGAGGCUAAUUGUAAAUGCUUUAACUGGAGAACACUGUCUCAGGAAGUGCUAACAAUUUUAAGGAUCCAGCCUGAAGCCUACUUCUUCGUGCCCCAUGAAAUGCAAACAGGAGGCCCAGCUGUAAACGUCUAACCUGGAACCCAUUCAUCUCCUACCUCAGCUUCACUCGCAUAAAGUGGACAUUGGGCUCCUGCACGUGGCCUCUGUCUCUUCAUGUGGCUGCUUGGGCUUCCUCCUGGCAUGGUGGCCGAGGGCAGUCAGGCUUCUUAUGUGGCAGCUGGUUUACAUGAGGGAGGGUCUAAGAGGGGCACGAAAGCUGAACCUCCCUUAAGACCCAGCCUCAGAGAAGAACAUCUCUUUGCAUCAUAUGUUCACAAGCUAUUGUUCAAAAUGAGUCACAGGGGAGCCAGCCCACAUUCUACAUGAUGGGUGAUGAAGAGUUUGCAGCCAUUUUACAUCUGCUGCAGCAUGGGACCCCCAGGGAGUUAAGU